AGUGAACGCUGGCGGCGUGCUUAACACAUGCAAGUCGAACGAGAACGGAUUAUAGCUUGCUAUAAUUGUCAGCUAAGUGGCGCACGGGUGAGUAAUGUAUAGGUAAUAUGCCUCUUACUAAGGGAUAACAAAUGGAAACGUUUGCUAAUACCUUAUACUCCUUAUUAACAGAAGUUAAUAAGGGAAAGAUUUAUUGGUAAGAGAUUAGCCUGUAUUGUAUCAGUUAGUUGGUGGGGUAAUGGCCUACCAAGACUAUGACACAUAACUGGUUUGAGAGGAUGAUCAGUCACACGGGAACUGAGACACGGUCCAGACUCCUAGGGGGGGCAGCAGUGGAGAAUAUUGCACAAUGGACGAAAGUCUGAUGCAGCAACGCCGCGUGGAGGAUGACACAUUUCGGUGCGUAAACUCCUUUUAUAUGAGAAGAUAAUGACGGUAUUAUAUGAAUAAGCACCGGCUAACUCCGUGCCAGCAGCCGCCGUAA
rnacentral:rRNA from 1 species